rnacentral:rRNA from 1 species
UGCCAGACUCCUACGGGAGGCAGCAGUGGGGAAUAUUGCACAAUGGGGGAAACCCUGAUGCAGCAACGCCGCGUGAGUGAAGAAGUAUUUCGGUAUGUAAAGCUCUAUCAGCAGGGAAGAAAAUGACGGUACCUGAGUAAGAAGCCCCGGCUAACUACGUGCCAGCAGCCGCGGUAAUACGUAGGGGGCAAGCGUUAUCCGGAUUUACUGGGUGUAAAGGGAGCGUAGACGGCGAUACAAGUCUGAAGUGAAAGCCCGGGGCUCAACCCCGGGACUGCUUUGGAAACUGUGUUGCUGGAGUGCUGGAGAGGCAAGCGGAAUUCCUAGUGUAGCGGUGAAAUGCGUAGAUAUUAGGAAGAACACCAGUGGCGAAGGCGGCUUGCUGGACAGUAACUGACGUUGAGGCUCGAAAGCGUGGGGAGCAAACAGGAUUAGAUACCCGAGUACA